ACCUGAUGGUGUGGGCAUUUAUGUAAGAGGUCCCUAAAAUGCUCCCAGGUCUCAAAAAAUUAUUCCCCAUCCAUGUGUGAAAAACGAGUGAUUGCUCUCCUAAGCU